rnacentral:rRNA from 1 species
UUUCCUACGGGGGGCUGCAGUCGAGAAUUUUUCUCAAUGGGGGAAACCCUGAAGGAGCGACGCCGCGUGGAGGAUGAAGGCCUUCGGGUUGUAAACUCCUGUCAUCUGGGAACAAAGCCGCAAGGUGUGAUAGUACCAGAAGAGGAAGAGACGGCUAACUCUGUGCCAGCAGCCGCGGUAAUACAGAGGUCUCUAGCGUUGUUCGGAUUCAUUGGGCGUAAAGGGUGCGUAGGCCGCGUUGUAAGUCGGAUGUGAAAUCUUGGGGCUCAACCCCAAAACUGCAUUCGAUACUGCAGUGCUUGAAGACUGAAGAGGAGAUUGGAAUUCACGGUGUAGCAGUGAAAUGCGUAGAUAUCGUGAGGAAGACCAGUGGCGAAAGCGAAUCUCUGGGCAGUUCUUGACGCUGAUGCACGAAGGCCAGGGGAGCAAACGGGAUUAGAUACCCCUGUAGUC